rnacentral:rRNA from 1 species
UACGAAGGGGGCUAGCGUUGUUCGGAAUUACUGGGCGUAAAGCGCACGUAGGCGGAUACUUAAGUCAGGGGUGAAAUCCCGGGGCUCAACCCCGGAACUGCCUUUGAUACUGGGUAUCUCGAGUCCGGAAGAGGUGAGUGGAAUUCCGAGUGUAGAGGUGAAAUUCGUAGAUAUUCGGAGGAACACCAGUGGCGAAGGCGGCUCACUGGUCCGGUACUGACGCUGAGGUGCGAAAGCGUGGGGAGCGAACAGGA